AUAUCAGGAGGAACACCGGUGGCGAAGGCGGGUCUCUGGGCCGAUACUGACGCUGAGGAGCGAAAGCGUGGGGAGCGAACAGGAUUAGAUACCCUGGUAGUCCACGCUGUAAACGUUGGGCGCUAGGUGUGGGGGGCCUCUCCGGUUCCCUGUGCCGCAGCUAACGCAUUAAGCGCCCCGCCUGGGGAGUACGGCCGCAAGGCUAAAAACUCAAAGGAAUUGACGGGGGCCCGCACAAGCGGCGGAGCAUGCGGAUUAAUUCGAUGCAACGCGAAGAACCUUACCUGGGUUUGACAUGGCCGCAAAACUUCCAGAGAUGGGAGGUCCUUCGGGGGCGGUCACAGGUGGUGCAUGGCUGUCGUCAGCUCGUGUCGUGAGAUGUUGGGUUAAGUCCCGCAACGAGCGCAACCCUCGUUCGAUGUUGCCAGCGCGUUAUGGCGGGGACUCAUCGAAGACUGCCGGGGUCAACUCGGAGGAAGGUGGGGAUGACGUCAAGUCAUCAUGCCCCUUAUGUCCAGGGCUUCACGCAUGCUACAAUGGCCGGUACAAUGGGUUGCGAUGCCGUGAGGUGGAGCGAAUCCCAAAAACCCGGUCUCAGUUCGGAUCGGGG
rnacentral:rRNA from 1 species